UUUCAAAAGGUUAAGGGUAGUAAUUCUGAAUAUUUUGUUCUGUUAAACAAGAGAUGUUUUUCGUCAUUAACCACAACAUAAUAACAGCAAACAUUAUGGAGCAUGACAGUUCUCUCUCAGUGACUUUCAUUUAGUCCUCACAGUUGUGUGAAGUACUAUUAUUAUACCCAUUUUACAGAUCAGGAAAAUGACAUUUAGAGAAGUUAACUUGCCUUAUGUCACACAGCUGAUAAGUUACUAAGCCAGGAAUUAGACUUGGGUAUAGUCACCACACUUUUAACACUGGCCUGCCAUCUUUAAGAAGAAUGUACCCUUCAGAGGACUACUUACUGGACUUGUUAGUCCACUUAUUGGCAGUAUGUGUAUAGCAGAGUUUUAAAUUUCGUCUAGAAAACAACCUCCUCCAUUCUUACACCACCUGGCAAUUAAUGUUUGUGUUUUGCUUCCCAGACUGAGUCCAUUAGAUCCACCUGUGGCUUCUAGCUAUCCAUCAAGCAAACCCAGCCUAUCAGUUUAUACUCCUCUGUCUGUCAGACUUAGCCGAUGCCGUGGAGCAUAUGCCAACCUGCAGUGGGAUGCAUGUCUCCCUCCAAGAAGAGGAAGCACCGCCUCUCAGGGCACCCCGCUUUUGACUCAGGUUUUACGAUUUUACUUCCAAACACUGGUAAGUAUAUAGGC
rnacentral:lncRNA from 1 species